UUGUAUUAUGCUGGGAGGGCAUAUCCGCCGAAUUUAAGCAUAUAAUUAAGCGGAAGAAAAGAAAAUAACAAUGAUUCCUUUAGUAACGGCGAGUGAACAAGGAAAAGCUCAAAAGGAAAAUCCGCUUCGUGGUGAAAACUACGGUGUGGAAUUGUCUGGUUGGGGUUUAUUCCUCCCUAUGCUUUUGUUGGGUACGAAAUGAGUAGGAAUACUAUUCCUUAGAGGGUGAAAGGCCCGUAGUUCCCUACAAUUAUAGGUGGAAUUUUCCCCGUAGAGUCGUGUUCUUUGAGAUUGGAGCACAAAUGCGUGUGAUACAUUUCACAUAAAGCUAAAUAUUUGUAGGAGACCGAUAGCAAACAAGUACCGUGAGGGAAAGAUGAAAUAGUACUCAGGAAUGAGGCUUAAAUAGUACCUGAAAUCGUUAAGAUGGAACGGAUUGAGAGAGAAAUAACGUAAGAUGGGAUUUAUUUCCCUGCUCCCCCGGAGCACGUUUUAAUUCCUAUCUUAUUAAAAGGAGCAUCAGUAAAAUAUAGCAUUUGCAUUAUAGUUAAACAGUUAUCUUUGCUCCGGCAAAGACAUCCUAUCUGCUUCCGCUAAUAUGGUCGUAGAAAUAACUAUUCUUGCUUGCUACAUUUACUGAGGACCCCCAAUGCCGGGGCAAUGCCCCGGUCAUUUACGUUGCUUCUAAAAAGUACUUUCUUAACCCACUCGUCUUGAAACACGGACCAAGGAGUCUAACAAAUGUGCGAGCGUAUAUAAUUUGAACUAUAACAAAGAAUGAAAAUUCUUAAUGUACGCGUAAUUAAUGUAAUUAAUUGGUAGAAUUUUAGGGUGCUCCCUAAAAUGCAUACCAUGCCGGUUGGCGAUUAUGCUUAAUUGAGUAUGAGUAUAUUUGUUAGGACCCGAGAGGCUUUGAACUAAGCGUGAUGAGAUUGAAGUCAGACGAAAGUCUGAUGGAAGAUCGAAUUGAUACUGACGUGCAAAUCGUUCAUUUCAAUCACGUUUAGGGGCGAAAGACUAAUCGAAAGGCCUAUUAGCUGGUUAUUUUCGAAAGAUCUCUCAGGAUCGCUGGAGUUGAUUAAUAUAGUUUUACGAGGUAGAGAUAAUGAUUAGAGGAAUCAGGGAAAUCGUUUUCCUUGACCUAUUCUCAAACUCCCAAUACGUAAUAAGGGAUUAAUAUCUUAACUGUAUUUUUCCCACCUAUAAAUAAAAUAACUCCAAGUGGGCCAUUUUUGGUAAGCAGAACUGGCGAUGAGGGAUGCUCCUAACGCUUGGAUAAGGUGCCUAAAUAUUCGCUCAUGAGAUCCCAUAAAAGGUGUUGGUUCAUAAUGACAGUAGGACGGUGGUCAUGGAAGUCGAAAUCCGCUAAGGAGUGUGUAACAACUCACCUACCGAAUGAACUAGCCCUGAAAAUGGAUGGCGCUAAAGCGGAUUACCGAUACCAAGCCAUAGAAAGAGAAUUAAAGGUUAAUUGUGGUUCGCCCCAAUUAAUCUUUUUUUAAACCUUUCUAUGAGUAGAAAAUCGUGGGGUUUGUGUAGAAGCAAUAUGCGUGAGCUAUUGUGGAACAUAUCCCUAGUGCAGAUCUUGGUGGAAGUAGCAAUUAUUCAAAUGAGAACUUUGAAGACUGAAGUGGAGAAGGGUUUCUUGUCAACUGUGAUUGUACAAGAGUUAGCCGCUCCUAAGGGAAAGCUGAAAUGCGUUAAAUGGGGAUUUGAUGCCGCGGGCAACCGCGACCACUCUCCCCGUCCCGAAAGGGAAACAGGUUGAUAUUCCUGUGCCGAUAGUAAUUUGGGUAUUGGAGAUGGUAACAUAUAUAUAAAUGAACUCCUUUACGUAGGUCUUACACUCGGGGUGCGUUUUCUUUGCACUUUAACUUUAUAGCCGACCUCGGAAUCAAUUUAGUUGGAGAAGAGGUUUGCCGAAUCCAAUUCGGGGCAAUCUGAUAAGGGCGGAGCAAUCCGCCUUUUUUAUGAUUCCCCGUUUUGAGUAAUAGUAAUUCAUUUUUAUGGAUUAUCCGAAGCCGUAAGGACUACCCUUGAAAAAAGGAGGGAACAGCAAGAGGCAAGUUUACUUGCCUCUUGCCGCCCUGAUUUACUUGUAUGAGCGUACCAACAACCGCAUCAGGUCUCCUAGGUUAACAGCCUCUGGUUAAAUAGAAAUAAGUAAGUAAGGGAAGUCGGCAAAAUAGAUCCGUAACUUCGGGAAAAGGAUUGGCUCUGAGGACAUUUGAAUAGAGAAGUUUAAAUUAACGUUUGAAAAAUGAUAUAAGGAAAGCACCUUGGUUCGCCAAGGUGUUUUUAUUUUAUUUCGUUUUCCUCAUGUUUAUUUUAUUCUAUCCCUCUAUUCGCCGCUGUUUGGUCGUUACUUCGGUGAUGAUCUUAUGGCUCUAACAUGUUAACUCAGAACUGAAACGGACAAGGGGAAUCCGACUGUUUAAUUAAAACAUAGCAUUGUGAAAGCCACAAAUGGUAUUAACACAAUGUGAUUUCUGCCCAGUGC
rfam:Plasmodium vinckei petteri strain CR unplaced genomic scaffold supercont1.11, whole genome shotgun sequence.